AACGAACGCUGGCGGCAUGCCUAACACAUGCAAGUCGAACGGGAUCCUGGUUUCGGCCAGGUGAGAGUGGCGGACGGGUGAGUAACGCGUGGGAACCUGCCCAGUGGUGGGGGAUAACUGCGGGAAACUGCAGCUAAUACCGCAUGAGCCCGAAAGGGGAGAGAUUGAUCGCCAUUGGAGGGGCCCGCGUUCGAUUAGGUAGUUGGUGAGGUAACGGCUCACCAAGCCUUCGANCGAUAGCUGGUCUGAGAGGAUGAUCAGCCACACUGGGACUGAGAUACGGCCCAGACUCCUACGGGAGGCAGCAGUGGGGAAUAUUGGACAAUGGGGGCGAACCCUGAUCCAGCAAUGCCGCGUGAGUGAUGAAGGCCCUCGGGUUGUAAAGCUCUUUGGGCGGGGACGAUGAUGACGGUACCCCGCAGAAUAACGCCCCCGGCUAACUUCGUGCCAGCCGCCGCGGU
rnacentral:rRNA from 1 species